GGACUACUGGGGUAUCUAAUCCUGUUUGCUACCCACGCUUUCGUGCCUCAGCGUCAGUCGUGGUCCAGUAAGCUGUCUACACCACAGGUGUUCCUCCUGAUAUCUACGCAUUUCACCGCUACACCAGGAAUUCCGCUUACCUCUCCCACACUCUAGCACUCUAGUUUCCGCCGCACCCUCCCAGUUGAGCCGGGAGAUUUCACAACAGACUUAGAGCACCGCCUACGCACUCUUUACGCCCAGUAAUUCCGAACAACGCUCGCUGCCUACGUAUUACCGCGGCUGCUGGCAC
rnacentral:rRNA from 1 species